AUGACUAAUUCAACAUUCUUCUCAGGCACCAGUACACAAGACAGCAUUACUCCAACAUCUCCUGCUGCCCAUGCAAAGGUCAAUGAAAAAGUGACCAUUUCUUGUAAAUACCAGUACACUUUGUCAAUGAAUAAUCUCCAGUGGUAUCGACAAUACCCAAACUCUGAGCCGGAAUUCCUGAUUCUAAUCAUGGAGUCGGGACAAAAGCAGAACGCUACACCUCCUCACCCUCGGCUCACAGCCUCAGUUCAUAAAGAAAGCAAGAUGGUGAAUCUGGAAAUGUUCCCUGCAGAUGUGAAGGAUUCUGCCUUGUAUUACUGUGCACUGCAGCCCACAGUGGCAGGAAACACCAUGUACACCAUACAAAAACCUGCUCAAAGCUAA